rnacentral:rRNA from 1 species
AAUAUUGGACAAUGGGGGCAACCCUGAUCCAGCCAUGCCGCGUUGGUGAAGAAGGUCUUCGGAUUUUAAAGCACUUUAAGUUGGGAGGAAGGGCUUUAGGCUAAUACCCUGAUGUUUUGACGUUACCAACAGAAUAAGCACCGGCUAACUCUGUGCCAGCAGCCGCGGUAAUACAGAGGGUGCAAGCGUUAAGCGGAAUGACUGGGCGUAAAGCGCGCGUAGGUGGUUCAGGAAGAUAAGUGUGAAAUCCCCGGGAUUAACCUGGGAACUGCUUUCAUAACUGCUGAGCUAGAGUACGGUAGAGGGUAGUGGAAUUUCCUGUGUAGCGGUGAAAUGCGUAGAUAUAGGAAGGAACACCAGUGGCGAAGGCGACUACCUGGACUGAUACUGACACUGAGGUGCGAAAGCGUGGGGAGCAAACA